ensembl:lncRNA
AGAAGGAAGACAGGAUAAAGACAUGCUGUGGAAGAGAGACAGAGGUUAAUAACAGAUAUGAUUCAAUGCAGAGAGGUCUGUUAAUACAUAGUGAGGGAGAAAGGUGACUGGAAAGGAAAAACUCAAUGCAUCAUGGGAAUCCCCGGCAGCCUACGUCUAUUGCAGCAUAACAAAGGGAGGAUUCAGGGUCACCUGGUCCAGCCCUAACUAUAUGCUUUAGCAAAAAGGAAAGUUUGUGUCAAGGCUCUGUGUGCAGGCAGGCAGAGAUGAGGAUUCAAAUGCAGGACUCGGAAAAUGGAAUGUAACUCAAAAAACCUCAGCUUUAUUGCGGGCAGGAAAACAAACAUAAAGUGAGGACGGAACACUGAGACCAAGAACACACAGGCAAAAACUGAUGGUACGACGCGACACUGAGCAUGGGAAAACACAGGGCUUAUAUACACAGGGUAGUAACGGGGGAAUCGCCAACAGGAGGGAGACACAGCUGGGAGAGAUCAGGGCUAACGAGACGGGGGAGCUAAGCUGCACACACUAACAUAAAGACUUUCACAAUAAAACAGGAAACAUGAAUUACUAAACAAGCAUGCAGACUUUACACUGCGAGACAGACAGAAUGACACAUGGAAUCUGAACUAAACUAAACGUGAGAUAUAACUGAGAACAAAUCCUUAAGCACGGAUAAACAGAAACAAGAAACUAAUAAUAAUCAUCAUCAUCACUACGAGAAGAAAACAAUCCAUGAAGCAGAAAUAAACCAAAACAUAAUAAACUCAAAAUACUGGGUCCAACGGACCCAGAACCGUGACAGUUUGAAGCCUAAUCUUGAAAGUAGAGAUAGUGUCUGUCUCCUGAAUCCAAACUGGAAGCUGGUUCCACAGAAGAGGGGCCUGAAAACUGAAGGCUCUGCCUCCCAUUCUACUUUUAAAUACUCUAGGAACAACAAGUAGGCCUGCAGAGCGAGAGCGAAGUGCUCUAAUAGGGUGAUAUGGUACUACAAGGUCAUUAAGAUAAGAUGGGGCCUGAUUAUUUAAGACCUUGUAUGUGAGGAGCAGGAUUUUGAAUUCUGGAUUUAACAGGAAGCCAAAACAGGAGAAAUCUGCUCUCUCUUUCUAGUCCCUGUCAGGACUCUUGCUGCAGCAUUUUGGAUCAGCUGAAGGCUUUUCAGUGAGUUUUUAGGACUUCCUGAUAAUAAUGAAUUACAGUCGUCCAGCCUGGAGGUAAUAAAUGCAUGAACUAGUUUUAUUCUAGGGUCAGAUUUGUUAUUUUACAGGGGAGCACGUGCACAUUGUCUACUGUGCACGUGCACUGGUACAGACUACAAAUAACAUCUGAGCAUCAGAGCAGUAGCUGAGAGUAGAAGCAGAAACAGAAAGUAGCGUAUCAUAGAAAUACUUACUCACUGAUUUUGCUUUUGUUUUCAGGUGAGUCACAGUUUAACAGUUCAUACACUGUUAUUUAAAGUGUGAAGUGUCUGUGGCCUGAAGAGCGUGGCAGCACUUUGAGCUCACAUUCAGUGAUGGGCGGUUUGUGUUGGCUCAUGUUUUGGAACUAGUUCGAUGCACAGAAACAUACGAAGUAACAUCAGUACAGAAAAGGAGAGCACUUCUGUGAAUGAUGAAUUAGCCGGUGGAACAGGUCGGGCUGCUCUGCAGACACACCUGAUUCCUCAGCUGAGCCACCUGAUGGGCGUCGUCGGCCGCGCUCUCACCUGAGAGCUGAACUUAAAGCACACCUGAGUGCGCCUCAGAGACAGAAACACCGCAGAGAUGGACAACCUCGCACAGAUAGCCGGCCAAAAAGCGGGUAGCUUGGUGGAGGGGGCAGUGAAGGGAGCUCUGAAUUCAGCCAACAAGAACAAAGGUGAGAAGAAAGGAGGAGGAGGCGGCAUCUUCUCGAUGUUUGGAGGCAACAAGAACAAAAAUAAGGACAAAGACGAUAAAGGAGCGCCCCUCCCAAAUGUGCCCAACAAAGAUGAUAGUGGGGGCAAGAAACCAGUACCCGAAGGGAAUUUAGCGGGAACUACAGGAGGGAGCGUGGGACCGACGAUGGGAGGAGGUGCAGGAGGAAGUGGAGGAUCAGCUGGACCUGUAGGACAGGAAGGAGUCACAACAGACAGAGGUAGGGAUAAAGAGACCCUCCUGUUGGUGCUCAGCUGUCCGCUCACUGAAGAUGAAGCCAUGAAGGCUUAAAGUCAGGAAGUUGUUGCUAAAAGAAAACAUGUCAGGAAGUGACAAAAGAAAGAAUCAGCUACAGGCAGGGUGCUCGCUGCAAGCACCAGUUUUUGCCCCUCAGCAGGCUUCCUGAAGUCAGCCAUUCAGAGGAAGCCUUGAUAAAAGUUAAAGGGGUUUUUAGGUACUGGGAUUCUGGAUGAGUCCAGAAAUCCAAAGCAGAUAUAUUCACACACGUGUUGCAUCUUUUGGUUUAAGUAUGUCAUGACUUUACGCCUUCAUCACUCACUGGUUUAAGUUGUCUUUAGUGAACCUCCGACUGACGUAUCAGCAGCCCAGACUCACGUAUAAUCUGUUUAGAGUUAGUAACCUAUCCUCUGUCUUCUUGGUUUGUCUCAGAUCUGAUGGAUGAUCUGUUCGAGCUGGGAGACGAAAUGAAAGGGAACUGAAGCAAAAGGAAGAAAACCCGACUCCCACAACCACUCAGAGAAGAUCCGGAAGGACGAGAGCGCCCACAUUUUUCUCUGGUCUACAGUUUUGCACAGAACUAAAGAUUUUAAUGCAUUAUCAGCCUAUUAUUCACCGUGUUUUAUUCACCGUGUUUUCUGCUUUUAGAUAACCAGUCAGUGUGUUUAACUUUAUCAUAAUAAUAGCACCAGCAAAGACGUUAUGAAUGAAUAAAUUUAAAUGUUUUACUGGAGGGGACUUUUCCUUCUUUUGGUCAGUUUGUCAGUAUUUUGUCUCGUAGAAGCUUCUCGUAAACUCCAUGGUGGAUGUUUUAAAACAUAUAUUAGUUUUAAUUUUAAGAAAAAUAAAAAUCUUACACAUAGUUCAAUAUAUGAUCAUUGAAAAUCAAUAAAAGCAAUCUGAAAUAAAUACUGUCAUAACAAACAGAAUUAAAUAAAGAAAUAAAUUUAUGAAA